CGUAUCACUUAAAGCGAUUCAGCGGAUUACGAUUGACGGAGCGAAGCGACGUCAAAGCGUAUACAAAGUCGAGUCGGUUUAAGGAUACGUUCGUUGGGUAGGGGAGCGUUCUGUAAGCCUGUGAAGGUGGCCUGUGAGGGUUGCUGGAGGUAUCAGAAGUGCGAAUGCUGACAUAAGUAACGAUAAAGCGGGUGAAAAGCCCGCUCGCCGGAAGACCAAGGGUUCCUGUCCAACGUUAAUCGGGGCAGGGUGAGUCGACCCCUAAGGCGAGGCCGAAAGGCGUAGUCGAUGGGAAACGGGUUAAUAUUCCCGUACUUGGUGUUACUGCGAAGGGGGGACGGAGAAGGCUAUGUUGGCCGGGCGACGGUUGUCCCGGUUUAAGCGUGUAGGCUGGUUUUCCAGGCAAAUCCGGAAAAUCAAGGCUGAGGCGUGAUGACGAGGCACUACGGUGCUGAAGCAACAAAUGCCCUGCUUCCAGGAAAAGCCUCUAAGCAUCAGGUAACAUCAAAUCGUACCCCAAACCGACACAGGUGGUCAGGUAGAGAAUACCAAGGCGCUUGAGAGAACUCGGGUGAAGGAACUAGGCAAAAUGGUGCCGUAACUUCGGGAGAAGGCACGCUGACAC
rnacentral:rRNA from 1 species